rnacentral:tRNA from 1 species
UCCCUGGUGGCUCAGAUGGUAAAGCGACUGCCUGUGAUGCAGGAGACCCGGGUUCAAUCCCUGGGUCGGGAA